rnacentral:rRNA from 1 species
GACGUAGGGUGCGAGCGUUGUCCGGAUUUAUUGGGCGUAAAGAGCUCGUAGGCGGCUUGUCGCGUCGAAUGUGAAAUCUCAGGGCUCAACUCUGACAUUGCAUUCGAUACGGGCAGGCUAGAGUUCGGUAGGGGAGACUGGAAUUCCUGGUGUAGCGGUGAAAUGCGCAGAUAUCAGGAGGAACACCGGUGGCGAAGGCGGGUCUCUGGGCCGAUACUGACGCUGAGGAGCGAAAGCGUGGGGAGCGAACAGG